GAAACUUAUCAUAGAUGGUUACAGUGACUUAUGUGAAGUUGAGAUUACUUCCAAACCAACAGUGCGGAGUUUGACAUUGUGCAAUAUUAAUGAUGAAGAUUUGACAUUGUUUGAUUGGGAUGGCGAUGAUUUAAAAAUGACAUGGAUGAAUUUUAUAGACAAUUUCCCUCUACUUGAGAAACUCAUCAUAGAUACUUGCAGUAGGUUGCAAAAACUUCAUAUUUCUCAACCGAAUUUGGUUAGCUUGGUGCUGAAGGAUAGCAUUGUGAAAUGGGAGGCAAGAAUAAAUUCGCCCAAGUUGAAAUCAUUUGAGUACAAGGGUGGCCUCACAGAUUUUACAGGAAUAGAAGAUUUACAAGAAUUGGAAUUCGUUCUGUUAUAUUUAGAUCCCCUUAAGCUUCGUGAUUACUACUACAGUUGGUUUAGAGAUAUGUUGGAGUCGUGUGCUCGCUCCAAGCAUUUGAGUUUGAUCUGCGAUAUUGAAGAGGUUGUCCUCAUUCCUGUUGAGGUAACUGAUAUAUUACCAGUAAAUGAUAUCACGAAUCUGGAGUUAGAAAUUAU
rnacentral:misc_RNA from 1 species